UGUUUUACAAACGCACGUCUUAGGAAAAUUGCAUUUAGCACAAUCAAUCGUUUGUUUUUAGUUUAGCGUGGAUUGACUCUAUAAAUAUCAAAACUAAAAUCAAAACAAUUACUCAUCGUGUGGUUAUACGUUGAUUACACGUUGAUAACGCUGUUUGUACGUUGAUUUUUACGUUAUUUUCAUUUUUAAGCAAGCCUAUUUUAAAUUGUGAUAGUUCCCACG